rnacentral:rRNA from 1 species
UCCUACGGGAGGCAGCAGUGGGGAAUAUUGCGCAAUGGACGAAAGUCUGACGCAGCAACGCCGCGUGGGUGACGAAGGCCCUUGGGUCGUAAAGCCCUGUCAGGAGGGAAGAACAAUCGGGAGGAAUAAUACCCUUUCGGUCUGACGGUACCUCCAAAGGAAGCACCGGCUAACUACGUGCCAGCAGCCGCGGUAAUAC